ensembl:lncRNA
CUCCGAUGCUUGUUGUCAUCUGUUUACUCCUAUGUAAUCACUUAAGUUGUUAUUAACUGCUGCAUGCUAAGCUGCAAGAGUGCACUGAGGACUGAGACAAAAUAUGGUCUACAAACCAGCAUUAUAUUAGUUUUUAUCAGAUAGUCCUCCAGUGUGUUUAAUUUUUGCUUUAAUUCUAUUGUGCAGUUAUUUGUUACCCUGAAAUGCUUUAUGCUUAACAACAGCUCACUAUUUUGACUUAUUUUUGAACUCUUGUGAUCAGUAUGACUAGAUUGUGUGAGUUUCCAUACUAAAAGAGCUGUAGUGAUAAAAUAACUGGCAUCAGAGACACUGGUUUUUGGCAUGGUAUACUGCAGAAGUUUUUUUUUUUUGCAUAAUUUACCUUUUAAUUAAACUGCAUUCUCUGUAUUGUAACAAAACUAACAUUGUUUAUAUGUCAGAAAAUUAGCAAACAUGAAUAAAUGGCAAAAACAAUAUAAUUAUAACAUAUAUUUUUAUUUUACUUAUUUUAGGUCUGUGAAGCCAAACUUGAUGCUGGGGAUUUAUUUUUGUCAGUGGAGUCAAAUGGUAACUUACAAUUUGUGCAUUUUGUCAUACUGGAAACACCUCAGAUUAUAUUGUAAUUUAAUAGCUCUAUAGAACAAAUGAUAUAAAGAUUGUAGUGUCAGGGUACUUCUUAAGAAGUAAUAUGGCACUAUUGAUGAUCACAUGCAGGUGGCAUAAACUAAAUAUUCAGACGUGUUACCAACAAAUGAUUCAUUAACAAAAGCAAUGGAGCAGACUGUUUAGGUUCUUGUGGUUGUAAUAACGUCCAUAACUGCAAGUUUGUCAUUAAUUUAUUUUCACAGGUCUAGAUGAUCACAUCUGUCUUUGUCAUUUAAAUGAGGUGGACUUGCAAACUUUGCGCUCUUUUGGAUUUCAAGACAGAGCUUAUUGUUCUCUGAACUUCCUUGUUUGCUGAACGGCAGGUUGAAGCAGAAUUUGCCCGUCUUACAUCUGUUGACCUGAAAGGGUUCCUUUUUGCUGUGCUUGACCAUUAUGGAGAGGUUCGUGGAGCUGUACAAAAUCAAGAGCGGCAUAGGAGGGCUAACUAGGCUCAUAAGAUGCUUCGGAGAUGAUAGCCCUACACAAAGGAAGAGGACAGAGGGCCUCAUUUUCUAAAGGAAGAGCCCUCACACACUUUCAAGACUGUGAAGCCGACAGGUAUUGAAGACACGUUUUCUAAGAGGAUGAAAGUUGGCAUUGUGAUGGUGAAAGAAGAAGACAUCAUCGAUGUGUUGGUCGUCCCUGAGGCGGCAGUAAUCCUGUCUAAUCUGAGGGAUGUCUCAAGUGCCAUUUCCAUGCUGAUGGGCCUUCUUUU